AAAUUCUUCUUAAUUAUUUUUUGAUGAGCCCUAUUUAAGUUUGACAUACAAAAUACAUAAAAACUAUAUGCUAGAUGGGCAAAAAUUUAAUAUUUAUUUUAGAAAAUAUAAAAAUACUUAUAAAUUAUUUUAAGAAAUACAUAAUCUCUUCUUGAUUACCUUUUUUCAAGCUCUAUGUACAGUUGAUAUACCAAAAAAAUCCUAAAAAUAUUAUAUUUUAGUUAGUAUCAUGGUGAUUGGAAGGGUUAGAGUGCCAUUCAGUGUUAUUGAAGGGUCAU
rnacentral:lncRNA from 1 species